rnacentral:tRNA from 1 species
GCGAGUGUAGUUCAGUGGUAGAACGUCAGCUUCCCAAGCUGGAUGUCGGGGGUUCGAGUCCCCUCACUCGCUCCA